UGCACACUUAAACUCGCGUAUGAAAUGUGGCCUUGUUUCGCGGGAUGUGUAAGAGCAGCUGGGGCACUUGAACGUGGGGCUCCUGAGUAUUUGCCGACACCUUGGGAAGCCGGAGCUCCGUCCAGUCCACCUCCUCAUCUGUUUGUUGUAUUCGGAUACUACCUGGAUUAGAGACUGAUUAGCUGGGGCUCUAGCUGCGAGUCUCUCUCUCUCGCUCAUUCUGGCUCCUUUGUAGUACCCUCCGCUGGGUCAGGAUGCAACGGUCGGUUGUUGAUCACAGCCUGCUGCUGCCGUGAACAAUGUGAUCCUGUGGGGAGGUUGGAGCUUGCACCGCGUCGUUUGGGGUUCACCUCCCUUCAUACCGGGGAUCUGCCUGUGGCAGCAGCAAUGUUGAGUGGGGCUAGACUGUUGGAUCAUGUGGAAUUCUUACAUUAAAUUGGCAUCAUUGGUAUCUUCGCCUCGUAGGAACUUUGAUGAGAGAAGAGUUUUCAUGAGUUGUACUUGGUGAUGUGGGGUUGAUCUGGUGCUCAUUCAGCACGGCAGUUACUUCCUAGUUUUCGGACGGGGCGACUGAGAUGAGCGGCGUCUUCGAUGUGGGAAUUUUUGUUUCUGUGUCGGGACGUGUUCUUGGAGAGGGGGGGCCUGUGUCGAGGCAUUAGUCAUCGAUCGGACGCAGGGAACAAUGUUGAUGUAAACAACCUUAUUCAUACUUGUUGAUACUACUCUGAGCCAAUGUAGCCGUGGAUGGUGUUUAUUCCCUUCGUCUAAUAUUAUGCAUGAAGGUAGCGCGUAGCAGCAUUGUCCGUGGAUCUUAAUACUGCACGGAAUUCCCAAGCUUCCAGUUGGUAGUGUCAGUGAUCCAUCACUACAGGAAUUAUUUAAUGCAGCGAGGGCUCAGUUUUCGAACGAUCAUGAACGCGGUAUAGGGCAUGGAGUUGAAGAUUCUUUCGUGCUCCACCCAGCGGUAGGAUUGUUUGAAUUGCCCUGUGGGAGAUGUACCAGUAUGCUGUGUGAAGACCGAACCGUCUCAUUUUCUUUCUCCUGUCAGAUGGUAUUUUAUUCUGCAGCCUGAACUGGGUGAUCGAGAGCAGUGAACUGCGAGCAGAAUCAGAAGUAGUUGAAGAGCUGGGUGGAGUGAAGAUGGGGCGAUUGAAGAAGAUGAAGCAGCAUGAGGAUAUGAAGCGAGCGACAACCCGCAACAGAGAUUCACCGUCUAAGAAUGCCAGGUCCUCAGGCCAAGAGUCGCAACCCGGAAAUUCCAUAUCCUUGCAGCGCCGUUACGAUUUUGUCAAUGAGAGUGAUUCUCACAAGGCGAAGGUAGUUCAGUUGAAUCCCAAGUCAACUCCGAUGGGCAGUGACGAUGAGCAGUUCUUUUACAGCAGAUACUCUUCUGAGUCGUCGAUGAUCUCCGACAAAUUUCCCACGAGUGGCGCUGCGCCUUCAAUAUGGGAAGCAGCACCAAGCAAUUCCAAGGAGCAGGUGAUCAUCUAUAGCGAUAUGCCCAUAGCACCUCUAAUGUCCAGUCCAAGCACCGGAGAUCACACUGAAUUGGUGCGCGCACAGUCUUUGGGUGCAAAUAGCGAUCAUCUCCAUCCGAGCGGCACAUUGUUGCAGCAGAAUGCAGGGGGUACAAGACUCCCCAGUGGAUUGCUUUAUCCUUGUUCAACUCCGGAGGGCAACCGUAAUAGCUGCUUGCUGAAUGCAGCACAUUUCACAUUUGACGAUAACAUUCUUUCCCCAGAUUUCGCAGGCAUCAGUGAGGGGAACACUUACACAGAGAAAAUGUUCAAGGAGUUAGUAGAAGAGUCGAAGUUGAAUCACAGUAAAUCAAAGAACGGAUCAAACUCCAACAGCAAGCUUGACGCUUUUACUAUUAGUUUGAGAGUCCAAAGGGAUGAAAUGCAAUCUCCUGUGAGCACAUUGGACUGUCCCACAUCGCCCCAAUCCCCAGAGCGCUCAUUUUCUGGAACGUUGAAGCGUAAGUCAUUGCGACGUAGAAGCGACGAAAAUAAUAGCAUUUCUACCCAGUUGCCCAAAAGCCAAUUUGCUCGAUACUCGAUGUCGGUAGACCGCGCUGUCGAUGACGAAUGUCUCGAAGGCCCGAGUGAAGUUGCAUGGCUUGAACCUUCUCCUUGCCAUCCUGAUAUUGCUAAACUGCAUUCCACACUUGCCUCUGGUAGGAAAAAUCCCUCUUACGAACGCUCGUCGUCGAACAGUAGCACUUGGAGUAUCUCUCUUGUGCAGAAUCCUGUCAAAUCAGUCUCGAACAUGGUGGGCAGGAGGCAUCAGACGAGAUUUUGUCGGCUCAAGGAUGCAAUCAUGUCAAUAUCAUUUACUAAUGGCGACGAUGGAAGUCCGUCAUCCCGUUCGAGAGCUGUGAAAAAAGGGAAACGUUCAGAGGUGAAUUCAGGGCGAAGUUGGUUGGGAUCUGGGAGAGGUAGCUCCUUGUGGGCUUGCUCUGGUCGGUUACAAACGGAUGUCACGGGGGAGCCUGAUCAGCAUGAACUAUACAUGGAACAAGAAAAGAAAGACAAAAACAUAAUACAGCAGGAUUUACAGCCAAAAGCCGAUGAGGAAGAGUUUCCAUUCGACUACCCCAUUGCCUCCACAUUCGUCUUUCAAGAAGCUGAGAAGUCGCCGACCUCACCCGCAGUCGUUUCUAGAAACUCUGGGAGCGAAGAUCUCCAAUCUUGUGACCACUUUGACGACCCCGAUGACAGAUCUUUUACAGACAGCGAAACUUCAAACACCUGUUCGUUAGAUAGUGGGAGACUCAGUGGGGUGCUGGAUUACCCGUCAGAGUACCUCCCCACUCGGAAGAUCGUUUAUGUGGGAAGGAUUGUUGACAGUGUUGGCUUGUCAAAUAGAGCCUUGAGCGGCUUAUCUUCGAGAGCGUUGAGUGGGUUUUUGGAGAUAGGGAGAUCGGGAAGGUUCAGUACAGACUUACAACGCGGGAGAAUUUUGGACAAGGUGCAGCAUCCGCGCACUCCCGAUGUAAGGCUAAGGAUUUUCAAGUCGGAGAAGCCAUCGAGACGAUUCAUGUUGUCGCCUUGCUUGCCCUUUCUGCAUAGAUCGAACAAGCGUGUACCUAGAAUUCAGCAGGCACCAGUGUCGGGAUCCAGCCGAAGGUUGCAACCUGUGAACAGUUUCACUGCCCGCCUUGGUCCGGUCGCUGAGAAUCCACCCCUUUUGGACAAUCCCAUAUCAGAGUAGUUGCGGUGUCUGAAGACUCUCUCAAGAGGUGCUUUCUCUCCUCCAAUCAAUCAUUCCAUUCCUCCAACCUUCUCUGGAAUCACCUGCGACCUUCUCACGGAUUAGCAGGUCAAAGCUGGAGCUGAGCUGGAACGGCUAAUCCUUUGCCAUUCCAUGCUAGCAAACAGCAAUCGGCGUUUUCUUGUCUGUUAAAUGCUCAGAUUGUACAAUGGUAGUAAUUUCCUUAAUCUUAUUUUGCACAGAUGUGAUGAUCAUGGUUGCUUGGCGCCCACUUCUGCUUGGCCAUUGCCAAGUCCUGGCGCCCACCAUAGUCACUGACAUUCACGAUACUUACUUAAAAUGGAGAGCAAUGCAAUUUGUACGAUUUUAUCUAAACUGCCUAAUGUGUUCUUCAUAACUAAUAGAAUGACAUGGUGCAUAAUUCACCGGACACCCGAUCUGGGGUCAAAUUUUAA